rnacentral:misc_RNA from 1 species
UGAAUUUUGUUCUUGAAUUGCAAGUUUAAUGCCUUUGAGACUUGCAGCUAAGCAAAUUGGAAAUGAAACAAACCCCCCAGUUCCAAUUACUAUAUGGGGUUUGAAUUCUUUAAGUAUUUGGGAACUUUUAAUUAGGGAUUUGACGAGUACAAAAGGGAGGACGAAUAAGUUGUAGAGAGAGAAAAAGGGCCGGCCUAAUGGUGCAGCAGGAAUCGGUUCAAAGGAGUAUCCUGCUGUUGGCACUGCAGUGCUUUCCAUUCCCGUUUGAAGUCCAACAAAGAGAAUUUGGGCAUUAGGGUCAAGGACAUUAAGGUCGUCAGCAAUGGCAAUCGCCGGGUAAAUAUGGCCACCGGUCCCCCCUGCAGCCAAUAUGAUUCGAAGGGUGUCACUUCCAGCAGCUGUUUCUCCGGAAGCAUUGGUGCUUUGAUUGUUGGGUUUGUUGAGAGAGAGACAGUUACUGAUCUUUAGAUUCCUAGAUUGAAGUUGAAUGGAGAGGGCCAACGUUAAGGAUUUGGGAACGGAGAAUUGGGUGUUAAAGUACCGGCAGCUCGGGGAAGAGGGUAAAUAAAUGGCUGUUAACAUGAUUAACAAAUAGAUAUGAAGAAAGCAGAAUCAAGAUUAAAAGGUCACAUUUGUCUGCUCAAAGAUUGGAGCUUUACUAGAUUCUGA